GACGAACGCUGGCGGCGUGCUUAACACAUGCAAGUCGAACGGAAAGGCCCUGCUUUUGUGGGGUGCUCGAGUGGCGAACGGGUGAGUAACACGUGAGUAACCUGCCCUUGACUUUGGGAUAACUUCAGGAAACUGGGGCUAAUACCGGAUAGGAGCUCCUGCUGCAUGGUGGGGGUUGGAAAGUUUCGGCGGUUGGGGAUGGACUCGCGGCUUAUCAGCUUGUUGGUGGGGUAGUGGCUUACCAAGGCUUUGACGGGUAGCCGGCCUGAGAGGGUGACCGGCCACAUGGGGACUGAGAUACGGCCCAGACUCCUACGGGAGGCAGCAGUGGGGAAUAUUGCACAAGGGGCGGAAGCCUGAUGCAGCAACGCCGCGUGCGGGAUGAAGGCCUUGGGGUUGUAAACCGCUUUCGCCUGUGACGAAGCGUGAGUGACGGUAAUGGGUAAAGAAGCACCGGCUAACUACGUG
rnacentral:rRNA from 1 species